UACAGAGGGCUCAAGCGUUGUUCGGAUUCAUUGGGCGUAAAGGGUGCGUAGGCGGUGAGGUAAGUCGGAUGUGAAAUCCCGGGGCUCAACCCCGGAACUGCAUUCGAUACUGCUUUACUUGAGGACUGGAGAGGAGAUUGGAAUUCACGGUGUAGCAGUGAAAUGCGUAGAUAUCGUGAGGAAGACCAGUGGCGAAGGCGAAUCUCUGGACAGAUCCUGACGCUGAGGCACGAAGGCUAGGGGAGCAAACGGG
rnacentral:rRNA from 1 species